GAAACAAAUAGCUCAAUGGUAGAGCACUCGACGGAAGCCGAUGGUGUAAUCGAGAGAUACGGGUUCGAAUCCCGCACUGUUUCU
rnacentral:tRNA from 1 species